UUGUGGAGACAUUUUAGAAGUAGAUUCUGCAGGGCUUGGUGACCUGGUGAAGUGGAGGGUGAAGGAAGGAGUGGACAGUGACUCCAAGGCAUCAAGCUGAGCCCCAAGGAAAUGGCAGCAACAUGGCCGGGUGCCAGGAGGCAGGCAGAGCUGGUUCAAGAUGGCUCCCUUUGCGUGGCGCUCCUGCUUUUGUUGAGCUGAGCAGAGUUAAAGGCGGCACUGAGAACUUCAAAAGCCUUCAUUGCUUGCUAAUAGAAAGGGCUGAGAACAAUGUGCAUGAAGGAUCAGGGAAGAUGAGGAAGAGGGCAGGAGGAAGCAAGAGCGACAGGUGGUGAAGAAGACAGAAGAGCCAAGGAAGGGCAGAGAGCUUGUCAGUAGGAGGGAAGACAUGGCUUUCGUUGGUGAGAGCUAUAGAAGAUAUAAAGGUCUGCUGAUGUUUGCCAUGUUUCAAAGAAUGUGAUUCCUUAUGUGCUUUAUUGGAAAAUUUGAGACAAAAAUAUAAAUUUAUUUUUAAUGAC